GAACGCGAAGAACCUUACCAGGUCUUGACAUCCCUCUGACCACUCUAGAGAUAGAGCUUUCCUUCGGGACAGAGGUGACAGGUGGUGCAUGGUUGUCGUCAGCUCGUGUCGUGAGAUGUUGGGUUAAGUCCCGCAACGAGCGCAACCCCUAUUGUUAGUUGCCAUCAUUCAGUUGGGCACUCUAGCGAGACUGCCGGUAAUAAACCGGAGGAAGGUGGGGAUGACGUCAAAUCAUCAUGCCCCUUAUGACCUGGGCUACACACGUGCUACAAUGGCUGGUACAACGAGUCGCAAGCCGGUGACGGCAAGCUAAUCUCUUAAAGCCAGUCUCAGUUCGGAUUGUAGGCUGCAACUCGCCUACAUGAAGUCGGAAUCGCUAGUAAUCGCGGAUCAGCACGCCGCGGUGAAUACGUUCCCGGGUCUUGUACACACC
rnacentral:rRNA from 1 species